rnacentral:rRNA from 1 species
GAUGAACGCUGGCGGCGUGCCUAAUACAUGCAAGUCGAGCGAACAGACGAGGAGCUUGCUCCUCUGACGUUAGCGGCGGACGGGUGAGUAACACGUGGAUAACCUACCUAUAAGACUGGGAUAACUUCGGGAAACCGGAGCUAAUACCGGAUAAUAUAUUGAACCGCAUGGUUCAAUAGUGAAAGACGGUUUUGCUGUCACUUAUAGAUGGAUCCGCGCCGCAUUAGCUAGUUGGUAAGGUAACGGCUUACCAAGGCGACGAUGCGUAGCCGACCUGAGAGGGUGAUAGGCCACCCUGGAGCUGAGACACGGUCCAGACUCCUACGGGAGGCAGCAGUAGGGAAUCUUCCGCAGUGGGCGAAAGCAUGACGGAGCAACGCCGCGUGAGUGAUGAAGGUCUUCGGAUCGUAAAACUCUGUUAUUAGGGAAGAACAAAUGUGUAAGUAACUAUGCACGGCUUGACGGUACCUAAUCAGAAAGCCACGGCUAGCUACGUG